rnacentral:rRNA from 1 species
GUUCUACCUUGACGAAUUGUAGUUUAAAGAAGUGUUUUCUGUUAGAUGAGUAGCAAAAGUUCCUUGGAAUGGGACAUCAUAGAGGGUGAGAAUCCCGUAUUUGGUUAUUCAUUCUAGCUUUGUGAUACACUUUCAAAGAGUCGGAUUGUUUGGGAAUGCAGUCCAAAAUGGGUGGUAAAUUUCAUCUAAAGCUAAAUAUUGGCGAGAGACCGAUAGCGAACAAGUACCGUGAGGGAAAGAUGAAAAGAACUUUGAAAAGAGAGUUAAACAGUACGUGAAAUUGUCAAAAGGGAAGCGUUUGACACCAGUGUUGUUUUUCCGAAAAUCAAUUACGAAUGGCUUGAUUUUGUGUUGUAUUGACCUUAUCAGCUUUCUUCACUUUUUUCGAGUCUUUCUU